GAUUUGAGAUUGUGAUUUAGAAAUUAGGAUAACAAGAGUUUUAGUAAAUAAAUGGAUAUGCUUUUUGAAUUUUUGAUCAAUAUUGUGAUUUAGAAAUUAAGAUAUGAAGAGUUUUUGUUGAUAGACGGGUAUACUUUUAGAAUUUUCUAUCAAUUGGUUAUAAUUUUAAAUAAAUGGGUAUGCUUUUCAAUUUUGGAUCAAUAUUGUGAUUUAGAAAUUAAGAUAUGAAGAGUUUUUAUUGAUAGAUGAGUAUGCUUUUAGAAUUUUUGAUCAAUUGGUUUUAACUUUUAAAUAAAUUUUCCAAAACCUGCUAUUUUUUAGAAAUUUUUCAUAUAUUGUAGAUUUGGGAUUGAGAUUUUGAAAUUAGGAUAACAAGAGUUUUUGUUGAUAUAUGAGCAUGCUUUUAGAAGUUUUGAUCAAUAGGUUAUAUUUUUAAAAUAAACUUUUAAAACUGCUAUAUUUUGAAAGUUAUCUUUUUGUAGAUAAAUAUUGUAGAUUUGAGAUUGUGAUUUAGAAAUUAGGAUAACAAGAGUUUUUGUAGAUAGAUGGACAUGCUUUUAGAAUUUUUGAUCAAUAGGUUAGAAUUUUUAAAUAAAUUUUCCAAAACCUGGUAUUUUUAAAAAGUUAUAAUUUUGUUGAUAAAUAUUGUAGAUUUGAGAUUCAAAAAUUAACAUAUGAAGAGUUUUUAGAAAGUUAUCAUUUUUGUUGAUAAAUGGGUAUGCUUUUAGAAUUUUUGAUCAAUUGGUCAUAAUUUUUAAAUAAAUUUUCCAAAACCUGCUAUUUUUAGAAAGUUUUCAUUUUUUAGGAAAAUAUUGUAGAUUUGGGAUUAUGAUUUAGAAAUUAGGAUAACAAGAUUUUUUGCUGAUAAGUGGGCAUGGUUUAGAAUUUUUGAUCAAUAGGUUAUAUUUUUAAAAUAAAAUUUUAAAACCUGCUAUUUUUGGAAAGUUAUCAAUUUGUUGAUAAAUAUUGUAGAUUUGGGAUAAUGAUUUAGAAAUGAUAACAAUAGUUUAUGUUGAUAGAAGGGUAUGCUUUUAGAAUUUUUGAUCAAUAGGCUAUAUUUUUAAAAUAAAAUUUUUAAAACUGCUAUAUUUGGAAAGUUAUCAUUUUGUAGAUAAAUAUUGCAGAUAUUAGAUUGUGGUUAAGAAAUUAGGAUAAUAAGAGUUUUUGUUGAUAGAUGGGUAUGC
rnacentral:lncRNA from 1 species